CCUACGGGGGGCAGCAGUGGGGAAUAUUGCACAAUGGGGGAAACCCUGAUGCAGCGACGCCGCGUGAGUGAAGAAGUAUUUCGGUACGUAAAGCUCUAUCAGCAGGGAAGAAAAUGACGGUACCUGACUAAUAAGCCCCGGCUAACUACGUGACAGCAGCCGCGGUAAUACGUAGGGGGCAAGCGUUAUCCGGAUUUACUGGGUGUAAAGGGAGCGUAGACGGGAGCGUAAGUCUGAAGUGAAAUACCUUGGCUUAAACAUGGAACUUCUUUUGAAAGUGUGCAUCGGGAGUGCAGGAGAGGUAAGCGGAAUUCCGAGUGUAGCGGUGAAAUGCGUAGAUAUGAGGAGGAACACCAGUGGCGAAGGCGGCUUACUGGACUGUAACUGACGUUGAGGCUCGAAAGCGUGGGGAGCAAACAGGAGUAGAUACCCUUGUAGUC
rnacentral:rRNA from 1 species